rnacentral:rRNA from 1 species
AUGAGAGUUUGAUCCUAAAACGGAGAGUUUGAUCCUGGCUCAGGAUGAACGCUGGCGGUAUGCUUAACACAUGCAAGUCGAACGGUCUCUUCGGAGAUAGUGGCGGACGGGUGAGUAACGCGUGAGAAUCUAGCUUCAGGUCGGGGACAACCACUGGAAACGGUGGCUAAUACCGGAUGUGCCGUUAGGUGAAAGAUUUAUUGCCUGAAGAUGAGCUCGCGUCUGAUUAGCUAGUUGGUGUGGUAAGAGCGCACCAAGGCGACGAUCAGUAGCUGGUCUGAGAGGAUGAUCAGCCACACUGGGACUGAGACACGGCCCAGACUCCUACGGGAGGCAGCAGUGGGGAAUUUUCCGCAAUGGGCGAAAGCCUGACGGAGCAAUACCGCGUGAGGGAGGAAGGCUCUUGGGUUGUAAACCUCUUUUCUCAGGGAAUAAAAAUUUGAAGGUACCUGAGGAAUAAGCAUCGGCUAACUCCGUGCCAGCGGCCGGGGUAAUACGGAGGAUGCAAGCGUUAUCCGGAAUGAUUGGGCGUAAAGCGUCCGCAGGGGGCACUGUAAGUCUGCGGUUAAAGAGCAAGGCUCACCCUUGUAAAGGCAGUGGAAACUACAGAGCUAGAGUACGUUCGGGGCAGAGGGAAUUCCUGGUGUAGCGGUGAAAUGCGUAGAGAUCAGGAAGAACACCGGUGGCGAAAGCGCUCUGCUAGGCCGUAACUGACACUGAGUUACGAAAGCUAGGGGAGCGAAUGGGAUUAGAUACCCCAGUAGUCCUAGCCGUAAACGAUGGAUACUAGGCGUGGCUUGUAUCGACCCGAGCCGUGCCGGAGCCAACGCGUUAAGUAUCCCGCCUGGGGAGUACGCACGCAAGUGUGAAACUCAAAGGAAAAGACGGGGGCCCGCACAAGCGGUGGAGUAUGUGGUUUAAUUCGAUGCAACGCGAAGAACCUUACCAAGACUUGACAUGUCGCGAAUCUUCUUGAAAGGGAAGAGUGCCUUAGGGGGCGCGAACACAGGUGGUGCAUCCCUGUCGUCAGCUCGUGUCGUGAGAUGUUGC